rnacentral:rRNA from 1 species
AAACCAACAGGGAUUGCCUUAGUAACGGCGAGUGAAGCGGCAAAAGCUCAAAUUUGAAAUCUAUCACCUUCGGUGUUCGAGUUGUAAUUUGAAGAAAGUGUCCUUGAAUAAUCCUUUAUCUAUGUUCCUUGGAACAGGACGUCAUAGAGGGUGAGAAUCCCGUAUGAUUUUGGAAUCUUAUUCUAUAUAGGACUCUUUCGAAGAGUCGAGUUGUUUGGGAAUGCAGCUCUAAGUGGGUGGUAAAUUCCAUCUAAAGCUAAAUAUUGGCGAGAGACCGAUAGCGAACAAGUACAGUGAUGGAAAGAUGAAAAGACUUCUGAAGAGAGAGUGAAAAAGUACGUGAAAUUGCUGAAAGGGAAGGGCUUGAGGUCAGACUUGGGAUUAACAUCUAGCUAAUCAUUUUGACUAGUCUUAUUAGUUAAUUUCCCGGGCCAAUAUCAGUUUUGUUCAAACAGAGCACCCAUUGGAAUGUGGCUUCUUUUCGAAGAAGUGUUUUAUAGCCUUUGGACGAUCUGCUUAUAAGACUGAGGACUGCGCGAAAGCUAGGAUAUUGGCGUAAUGACCUUAAGCCGC